rnacentral:rRNA from 1 species
GAUGAACGCUGGCGGCGUGCCUAAUACAUGCAAGUCGAGCGAACAGACGAGGAGCUUGCUCCUCUGACGUUAGCGGCGGACGGGUGAGUAACACGUGGAUAACCUACCUAUAAGACUGGGAUAACUUCGGGAAACCGGAGCUAAUACCGGAUAAUAUAUUGAACCGCAUGGUUCAAUAGUGAAAGACGGUUUUGCUGUCACUUAUAGAUGGAUCCGCGCCGCAUUAGCUAGUUGGUAAGGUAACGGCUUACCAAGGCAACGAUGCGUAGCCGACCUGAGAGGGUGAUCGGCCACACUGGAACUGAGACACGUCCAGACUCCUACGGGAGGCAGCAGUAGGGAAUCUUCCGCAAUGGGCGAAAGCCUGACGGAGCAACGCCGCGUGAGUGAUGAAGGUCUUCGGAUCGUAAAACUCUGUUAUUAGGGAAGAACAAAUGUGUAAGUAACUAUGCACGUCUUGACGGUACCUAAUCAGAAAGCCACGGCUAACUACGUG